GACGAACGCUGGCGGCGUGCUUAACACAUGCAAGUCGAACGGAAAGGCCCUGCUUUUGUGGGGUGCUCGAGUGGCGAACGGGUGAGUAACACGUGAGUAUCCUGCCCUUGACGUUGGGAUAACUGCAGGAAACUGGUGCUAAUACCUGCGAGGAGCUCCUGCUGCAGGGGGGGGGUGGGAAGUUUCGGGGGGUGGGGAUGGAAUCGCGGCUUAGCAGCUUGGUGGGGGGGUAGUGGCAUACCAACGCGUUGACGGGUUGGCCGGCUGAGAAGGUGAGCGGCCACAAUGGGACUGAGAUACGGCCCAGACUCCUACGGGAGGCAGCAGUGGGGAAUAUUGCACAAUGGGCGGAAGCCUGAUGCAGCAACGCCGCGUGCGGGAUGACGGCCUUCGGGUUGUAAACCGCUUUCGCCUGUGACGAAGCGUGAGUGACGGUAAUGGGUAAAGAAGCACCGGCUAACUACGUG
rnacentral:rRNA from 1 species